GUGCCAGCCGCGGCGGUAAUACGUAGGGCGCAAGCGUUGUCCGGAAUUAUUGGGCGUAAAGAGCUCGUAGGCGGUUUGUCGCGUCUGCUGUGAAAACCCGAGGCUCAACCUCGGGCCUGCAGUGGGUACGGGCAAACUAGAGUGUGGUAGGGGAGACUGGAAUUCCUGGUGUAGCGGUGGAAUGCGCAGAUAUCAGGAGGAACACC
rnacentral:rRNA from 1 species